rnacentral:lncRNA from 1 species
GGGGUUCACCCAGUCUCUCUUACUAAAAAGUGCUAAUUGUACCAUUAAUGCCUUCCACAGAACCUGUCCAGACACAGACUGAACUGAAUUUAAAAUAAUGAUGUGGCAAAGAAUGCAGCAUCAGCAGACAGUGUUCUUCUACAGAGUAAGGUGGUCUGGGUGGCUUAGAAAAAGAAUAAACUGCAAAGCAAGCACUGUCUUUUUGUACGAGGACAUCAGUAUAAAUAAGGGCAAAAUUCGACUUUUCAUAAGGGAGCUGCCAUGAGAGAAGGAAUUGUGUUUGCUGAGAUAUUCUGGGAAGCCAUUUGGAAAGGCAUGGAGAGAGCAGAAACAGGAGAACUAUUUGAGAGACGAGGGAUACCAAAGAGUUGUCAUUAAAUGUCAAGGAGUUUUUGCAGAAAAGACAGUGUCCAAAAAGGAUUUGUGAGGCAUCAAGCUCUGAACCCCAAUAGAAGGAUUGUGUCAUACAGCUCUGAAAAGUACCCACCGCUGAGGCUGAACAAAACAACCGUGUAUCCAGUGCACAAUAAGUUAAAGCAAGAAGUGGAAAACAAUAGUAAGCAGAAGCAAGGAAAAUAAACUAAAGCUUAUAGUGCACUACUUUUCUCCAUUUGUGCUACAACUUAUAAGAUUGUAUAACGUCACCCAACGCUCUCUUCCCAACAAGAUGCAAUUCUUGGGGUGCUACUGCUUUGUGAACAAAAUGUGAUCAUACCAGCCAUCGGCUGCUGAAGAUAAUAAUGCAUGUGGAGAAAUUGUGAACUCUACAAUUUCUAGGAAAAUUAUUUCACGUCCUUUGAAGUAUAAAGUUUUCUUUCAGAUAUACACAAAAACUUUACAAAUCCCAAAUUGUUAAUUGGGAGACUUAAAUAGAGACUUAAACAAGCAAUUUCAUAUUUAAAAAUAUGCUAUCAAUGUGCAACCUGUUUCUCCGUGAGUUAGGAUUUUCUGGUAGUGUAUAUAUGCCCCUCAUUAAUCAAAGUAAUUCUCAUCAGAAUAGAACAUUCCCAAAUGGUUACAGUGUUUCAGAUCAAAGCGGGCCUGCUGCUAAAACUUAGAUUUUAAAAAUUUGAAGGAACACAUUGAAGAAAUGAAUAAAUACAUAUCCACAGGGGUUACA